CAUAAACAAAAUAAAGGACAACAAUCACAUGAUCAUAACAAUAGAUGCAGAAAAAGCAUUUGAUAAAAUCCAGUACUCAUUUGUGACAAAACACUCCACAAAGUGGAAACAGAGGGAGCAUACCUCAACAUAAUAAAGGCCACAUACAAGAAACCUACAACCAACAUCAUAUUCAAUGGG